UCCAAAUGCCAGAUUCAAGCCCUAAGAGAAAGAUUCCAGGGCAGUGAGGCAAGUCUUCAGCCAGCACUCCAUGUCCAGGGCUUGGCAACCUCUCCACAGCAGUAAAGGCAAACAAGGUUGAUCAAUAUGGAUUGGUGUUGAUACACCUUGAGGUCAUAAUGUGGAGUGAAAAAUACAAGAUGCACUGCAAUAGCAUCCAUGCAAACCUUUUAACCAGGCGGCUGGGAAGUCUGGACGGCGCCCAUACCAAAGGGAGGACGUCUGCCUGGAAGCAUGUGUGUAUGAUCCAAUACAAGAUACAACACUGCAUUUAGUCUUCACGUCUCCUUAGUCUCCUGGUUUCUCAGCUAUUCCUUGUAUUCUGUGACCUUGAGAAUUUUGGAGAGCACAGGUCAAAUAUUUUGCGGAGUGCCCCUCAAUUUGACUUUCUUGAUGUUUUCUCAUGAUUAGGCUGGGGUUGUGGGUUAAUGGGAGGACCACGGAGGUGAAGUACCCCCUCACUGCACCACAGCAGAGAGUGUCACGUCAACGUCAACAGGACCUACCACGUGGUUAUGACUGGUUUCUCCACUGUGGAGUUACUGUGUCCCCAUCCUACAUGCUAUUCUUUGGCAGUGUGUCACAGGCCAGCCUACA
rnacentral:lncRNA from 1 species